rnacentral:rRNA from 1 species
UGCAUAGCCGACCUGAGAGGGUGAUCGGCCACACUGGAACUGAGACACGGUCCAGACUCCUACGGGAGGCAGCAGUAGGGAAUCUUCCGCAAUGGGCGAAAGCCUGACGGAGCAACGCCGCGUGAGUGAUGAAGGUCUUCGGAUCGUAAAACUCUGUUAUUAGGGAAGAACAUAUGUGUAAGUAACUGUGCACAUCUUGACGGUACCUAAUCAGAAAGCCACGGCUAACUACGUGCCAGCAGCCGCGGUAAUACGUAGGUGGCAAGCGUUAUCCGGAAUUAUUGGGCGUAAAGCGCGCGUAGGCGGUUUUUUAAGUCUGAUGUGAAAGCCCACGGCUCAACCGUGGAGGGUCAUUGGAAACUGGAAAACUUGAGUGCAGAAGAGGAAAGUGGAAUUCCAUGUGUAGCGGUGAAAUGCGCAGAGAUAUGGAGGAACACCAGUGGCGAAGGCGACUUU